UAGGGAAUAUUAGAAAUGGACGCAAGUCUGAUCUAGCAACACCGCGUGUGCGAUGAAGGCCUUCGGGUCGUAAAGCACUUUUUGGAAGGAAUAGGAAGGAAUGUACUUCCAGAAUAAGUCUCGGCUAACUACGUGCCAGCAGCCGCGGUAACACGUAGGAGGCAAACGUUAUCCGGAUUUACUGGGCGUAAAGCGCGUGUAGGUGGUACUGUAAGUAGGGCGUGAAAGCUCCUGGCUCAACUGGGAGAUGCCGUUCUAAACUACAGAACUAGAGGAUGGUAGAGGGAGGGGGAAUUCCAGGUGUAGCGGUGGAAUGCGCA
rnacentral:rRNA from 1 species